GGGACUGAACCCGGAACCAUGUGGUUGGGAAGCAAGCUUCUUACUACACUGCCACAAAAUAAUGAAAUAAAGCGGUAUUAGUGCAUGCUUUCAAAUUCCUCCCUGACCGACUUCGCCUUUCAUCCUUUCUGGAGUCGAUAAAAUAAGAACCGGUCGAACACUGAGGCCGAUCUAAUCGAUUAGACUUCUCAAAAUUUCAGCCUCUGUGUCUAUAGUAGCGAGGAUUAUUAUAAUUUCCAUUAGAAACAUUAUUACAAUAUCCGAAACACACACACACACACAUAUGUGUGUGUGUGUGUGUGUGUGUUUAUACUGUACCGAGGAGCUUAGCAUCACAGCCUGACGGACUAGAGUUAAAAUCCGCAACACUGGUUUUUUCUCUAGUUACGCCUCUGACAUGGGCGUACUUUCAUAUAUAGAUGUGUAUAUAUAUAUAUAAAUAUUCGCCUCUUGUCACAUUCUGUUAGUUGUUACUUGUAUGCGCUGAGCUUUGUAAUUAAAAAGAAAUAAACAAACACUUGUUUUGAUGUUCGAAGUUUCUAACACCAAGUAUUUUAAGUGUGCAAGUACUUGGGUGCCGAGUAUCAAUGUAAUUCGAGGUUUCUUAUCACUGCCUGCCUCUCGUGUGUCUGUCUAUUUGUCGAGUAAAUGUUAAACCGUCAGCAACAUAAAACCCGUCGUCGUCUAUCGUGACAACACAUCACAGAACAAGCUGGGUCACAUCGAGAAAUAGGUGUUGAUAUAUCUUCGACAUCAGAAAUGUCGCCGCGGGCCGUCGUGCCGAUAUCAAUCAACCCAAACGAUUACAAAGAUGGUAUUUACGAUAUUCUAAAACUGGUGCGGCCGUCCUGGCAGCAGGAUUCGAUACUCUUCAAAGUUUUCAGUGAAGGGAUUACCAAUCAAUUGGUGGGUUGCUACCAAAAUGAUUCACGCAGUGACAUGGUCCUUGUUCGCCUCUAUGGCAAAAACACUGAGCUUCUUAUUGACCGCAAAUUAGAGUAUUUAUCCAUGAACCUGCUGCAUUCCAAAGGUAUGGCUCCAGAGGUUUACUGUUGCUUCAGCAAUGGUAUGUGUUAUGGCUAUCAACAGGGACGGCCCAUAAACGUACAUGAAGUGUGUGAUCCAAAAAUUAGCGGUCUGAUUACACAAGAAAUGGUCCGCUUACACAGCAUCAAAGCUACUGAUGUUGAUGAUUUUCAAACUUACAAUGUGUUCUUCAAAGGUGAACCAAUUCUGCUCAAGAAAAUGAAGAACAUGCUACAGAUUAUUCCAAAUAAAUUUGAAGACAGCCAGACACAACAAAGGUACGCAUCUGAGAUUUUGGGUAAAAUAAAGCUGUGGGAUGAGUUCAAUGGACUCUGCAAGGUAUUUGAGAAUUGCGAUGUGCCCAUAGCCAUCUGCCAUAAUGAUCUGCUCUUGAACAACAUCAUCUACAAUGCCAAAACAGAUUCAGUUUCUUUUAUAGAUUUUGAAUACACCAAUGAGAACUACGUCGCCUAUGACAUUGCCAACCAUUUCUGUGAAUAUGCUGGUGUCGAUGAAGCUGAUUUCUCUCGUUGUCCAAAUGAAGCAUAUCAACUGAAAUGGAUAAAGAACUACCUAGAACUCUACAAGAAAAUGGCCUCUCCAGAAGGUUCUAAAACCGAUGCUGUCACUGAUGAAGAAGUCAGACACAUGUAUAUCUGGGUUAACAAAUUUUUUGCAUUAUGGUAUUCUCCGUCUCAAUGAAUAUCUUCGCUGUAAGGACUCCCUCUACGUACAGCUGCCCAAUUCGAAUAAUCCCUCUUAGCAAAACAUUGACCUAAGUUUCAGACUCCAGCAAGGGUGACCACCAACAAUGUCGUCUCACCUUUCAGCAUUCAUAUAAAGGAACAUCAUGUUACUCAAACGUCUUUGUAAACAAAGAUGGGAAUCAUACUUGCGGUCUCUUACAGAAGUCAGUUCAUCUUAUUACAAGUCUUUUAGUGGCAUGUGGUAGCAUGCAUGACCCAACCAACAGAGGUGUUGUUGUUGCAGUAGGAUGACAAGACUGGGUGUCUGCAUGCAAGCCACAACUUCAUCGUUGGUGACUUGGUCGUUCCAUCUGAUCUUUCUAUACGUUUAUAGUGCUGAGUUUUAAUUCCUGCUUCAGGAGAAGCUACUUGCUACUAGAGGUUGACAACCUAUCCAGAGAGCUAAUCAACCUCAACUCUCAUGAUAAAGAUUAAUUAUAUAAUCCUAAAUAAUAUAUUUAUUGAGGAUUAAAGUUUUCUUAUAAAAUAUAAUGAGCAUUUUUAAAUAACAUGUUUAGAAUCAUUCUACACAUGUUACAUACUUUAUUUUCUUCCAGAUGACUUGGAGAAUUGUUUCUUGCGUGUGUGUGUGUACCUUGCCAUGUUUUGAAAGCUUUUUACAGUCAUUUAAAUAUUCCUUAAUCCAUUUAACUUCUUCAACUCCGAUGUCUCUAUUGGGGAAACAUUACCAAGUGCUUAACUUUAUAUCCUGGCUUACGUGAGAUAUAAAUGAACAGAGGGAAGUUGUUUUUUUUUUUUUUAAUCUAAAAGGAAUUUUAUGAAAAGAGAAUAAAUUGCAGUGAAAUUGGUUUAUAAAUGUUUUUUUAUAAAAAAAGGUCACCCCCUACCAUUCUGUACAUGUGUGACUUAUAAAACUAUUAAACUGUUUCAAACCAUCUGUAAA
rnacentral:misc_RNA from 1 species